GACGAACGCUGGCGGCGUGCUUAACACAUGCAAGUCGAACGGAAAGGCCCUGCUUGCAGGGUACUCGAGUGGCGAACGGGUGAGUAACACGUGGGUGAUCUGCCCUGCACUUCGGGAUAAGCCUGGGAAACUGGGUCUAAUACCGGAUAGGAGCCAUUUUUAGUGUGAUGGUUGGAAAGUUUUUUCGGUGUAGGAUGAGCUCGCGGCCUAUCAGCUUGUUGGUGGGGUAAUGGCCUACCAAGGCGGCGACGGGUAGCCGGCCUGAGAGGGUGGACGGCCACAUUGGGACUGAGAUACGGCCCAGACUCCUACGGGAGGCAGCAGUGGGGAAUAUUGCACAAUGGGCGCAAGCCUGAUGCAGCGACGCCGCGUGGGGGAUGACGGCCUUCGGGUUGUAAACUACUUUCGCUAGGGACGAAGCUUUUGUGACGGUACCUAGAUAAGAAGCACCGGCUAACUACGUG
rnacentral:rRNA from 1 species